UGGAAGGGGUGCCGCAGAGAGGAAGGCCA
rnacentral:piRNA from 1 species